UGGGGAAUUUUGGACAAUGGGCGAAAGCCUGAUCCAGCAAUGCCGCGUGUGUGAAGAAGGCCUUCGGGUUGUAAAGCACUUUUGUCCGGAAAGAAAAUCCUUGGCUCUAAUACAGUCGGGGGAUGACGGUACCGGAAGAAUAAGCACCGGCUAACUACGUGCCAGCAGCCGCGGUAAUACGUAGGGUGCAAGCGUUAAUCGGAAUUACUGGGCGUAAAGCGUGCGCAGGCGGUUUGCUAAGACCGAUGUGAAAUCCCGGGCUCAACCUGGGAACUGCAUUGGUGACUGGCAGGCUAGAGUAUGGCAGAGGGGGGUAGAAUUCCACGUGUAGCAGUGAAAUGCGUAGAGAUGUGGAGGAAUACCGAUGGCGAAGGCAGCCCC
rnacentral:rRNA from 1 species